rnacentral:pre_miRNA from 1 species
AGCCUCCUGAACCUGUGCUGAGAUUUCGUCAGACGCCAGACUGUCAGUGGUGAUGAGACUUCCAAGAUAAAUGAAACG